CCAUCUCACUGCUUCCAGAGCCAUGCCAAGAGAUCCCGGGACCCUCUCAGAGCCUGGCCACUCCCUCCUUCCCCAGGAGGAGGAGAUUGCAAAAGAGACAGAAAAGGAGUGCCCAGAGAGGCAGAGGGAAAGGAAGAGGAAGAGGAGGGUGAGCCGCGUGGGAAUCCAGGAAAGAGAGGGCUUCCGCUUAGAGACGUGGACCCCGUUUCAUAAGAUCUCAGGGGCUGUCUGUGCAUGAAUGGCCAAGGAGGAACCCCAUCUGCUACAGAUCCUGUCCACAUGAAUUUCCCUGAUGUUUGCUGCUGCAGCAGGCCUGAACUGCACGCUGCUGGACAAUGUGCAAGAUACCAUAGGCUGAAGAUGCAUUUGGGUUCCUAACCAUUGCCACUGCAGGUUGGCUAAUUCUAUUCCAGCAGCUAACCCGUAAUCACUACAUGACAAGGGAAGCUGAGGCCCAGAGGACUGAGACAACUUGUGCGUAAUCACCUUUUUCAGAUUCACAAUCAUGAAAGUAUCAUGAAGAAUUUCAAAGGUUCACUCUCCACCCUUUUCCACCUGCUCUGUGUCCAGAGAGGCUGACCUGUGUGGACUGACAAAGAGGCCCUUGUCCUCUGGCUUACAACUGGGCCCGGACAAUGAGGCGCGACAGCAGGAGACAGAAGCGAGCACCAGUAGAGGGUAAGAGGAAUAUAGGAAGAAAUGAAGGAGGAAAAGAGCAAGUGAGAGAGAAUCAGAAGAAGAGCAAGAGUGACCAAGAGAGAGGGAAGAGAUUAAGAAAAAGCGAUCGGGACAUACAAGUAUGUUUUAUGCAAUCUUGAAAGGAGACGCUUGGAUCACUGGCAGAAGAUGGGUUUCUAACUUACAGCCACUUUAUAAAUUCUGAUUCUUCUCACAGAAGAAUAAUUUUAAGCCCAUGUGGGGCUAGGCAAUUUUGUUUUAGAAUUUAACUUUAGAGCUAAUAAUUUUAAUACACAAAAAUUAUUAUUAAUAACUCUUAUGGUAUCCUGACAAUGUGUUAGACACUGAAUUCUCAAGUAGAUUAAGAGGAAACAUUUCUUAUUAGUAUGAAACAAC
rnacentral:lncRNA from 1 species